GACGAACCGUGCGAACGUUGUUCGGAAUCACUGGGCUUAAAGGGCGCGUAGGCGGUUUCCCAAGUCCGGGGUGAAAUCUUUCGGCUUAACCGGAAAAGUGCCUUGGAUACUGGGCGACUCGAGGGGGGUAGGGGCAAGCGGAACUUCCGGUGGAGCGGUGAAAUGCGUUGAUAUCGGAAGGAACGCCGGCGGCGAAAGCGGCUUGCUGGACCCCAUCUGACGCUGAUGCGCGAAAGCCAGGGGAGCGAACGGGAUUAGAUACCCCGGUAGUCCUGGCCCUAAACGAUGGGUACUAGGUUGUGGGCCUGACAUGGGCUCCCAGCCGGAGCAAAAGUGCUAAGUACCCCGCCUGGGGAGUAUGGCCGCAAGGCUGAA
rnacentral:rRNA from 1 species